GGCGGGGGCGGGGGCGGGGCGGGGGCGGUGGGGGCGGGGCGGGGCGGGGCGGCGGGGCGGGGCGGGGGUGGGCGGGCACACGCAGGGGCAGGGGGGCAGGUGCAGCCCGGGGGCGCACGCAGGGGCCGGGCGGGCAGGUCCUGCCCCAACACUCAGGGACCGACCGGGACCCAGGGCGAGCUCCGGUGGCCGCCGUCCUCAGCUGCAGCUCUAAACUGCUGCUGAGCACUCUGGCCUAGAACUUUCCUGGGUGUGCUUUUUUCUCACCAAUAAAACGCGGCUAGUGGGCCGGGACCCGGUGCUCCAGCUGGAAGGGUGGUCCCCUGCGGCCUGGUCGCUGCAAGCCGCCCUCUCCUCCCUGCUCAGGGUUUUCAUCGGUCCCCAAGCAGCCCGGCAAGUUGCCAUCAACAGGUGGGCUGCUGCUCCCUUCUCUUCACCCCACAUCCUUUAGGAACAGGUGCAUGUUUUCCUCAGGAGGCAGGGCUGCCCAUGGGGGGGCAUAGCCAUCGCCCUGCCCCCCAGCAAAUGCUUCCUUUCAAGGGGCAUCCUGGGCGUUGGCCACGGUUUGCUGGGCAUCCCCGUGUGACACGGAGCCACUGGGGAGCUCAGGCCCCCGCCCCGGGCAAGCAGGGGGGGAAAUCCAGGUGGGCCUCCCUGCUCCUGUACCUUUAGUGAAUUGGAGGGAAAGAUCAUUCCUUAUUUUGAUUCCAGUGUGACAGCCCAUAAUUCGGGUUUAUAAUGGUUUUUCUCGGCACACCAUGACUUUUAUGAAGCUGGCCUCGUAUGCAACAGCAUCAGUCACUGUUCCCUAAGCUUGCCCGGACCUCAAAAUUACCUGGGACAACUAAAAAGAAAACCAAACCUGACUCCUAAGCCCCUCACAGAUGUAGGUGGGGCCUACGCAGAUCUCAUAUUGGGGAAAUUGAGGGAAGCGACCCUGGGGGCCGGCCCUUUGGUGAUUCCUAUCUUUGGAGGUUCAGGACACCCAGGUACGGGGAGUACUUGGUUCGA
rnacentral:lncRNA from 1 species